rnacentral:rRNA from 1 species
GACGAACGCUGGCGGCGUGCCUAAUACAUGCAAGUCGAACGAACUCUGGUAUUGAUUGGUGCUUGCAUCAUGAUUUACAUUUGAGUGAGUGGCGAACUGGUGAGUAACACGUGGGAAACCUGCCCAGAAGCGGGGGAUAACACCUGGAAACAGAUGCUAAUACCGCAUAACAACUUGGACCGCAUGGUCCGAGUUUGAAAGAUGGCUUCGGCUAUCACUUUUGGAUGGUCCCGCGGCGUAUUAGCUAGAUGGUGGGGUAACGGCUCACCAUGGCAAUGAUACGUAGCCGACCUGAGAGGGUAAUCGGCCACAUUGGGACUGGGACACGGCCCAAACUCCUACGGGAGGCAGCAGUAGGGAAUCUUCCACAAUGGACGAAAGUCUGAUGGAGCAACGCCGCGUGAGUGAAGAAGGGUUUCGGCUCGUAAAACUCUGUUGUUAAAGAAGAACAUAUCUGAGAGUAACUGUUCAGGUAUUGACGGUAUUUAACCAGAAAGCCACGGCUAACUACGUGCCAGCAGCCGCGGUAAUACGUAGGUGGCAAGCGUUGUCCGGAUUUAUUGGGCGUAAAGCGAGCGCAGGCGGUUUUUUAAGUCUGAUGUGAAAGCCUUCGGCUCAACCGAAGAAGUGCAUCGGAAACUGGGAAACUUGAGUGCAGAAGAGGACAGUGGAACUCCAUGUGUAGCGGUGAAAUGCGUAGAUAUAUGGAAGAACACCAGUGGCGAAGGCGGCUGUCUGGUCUGUAACUGACGCUGAGGCUCGAAAGUAUGGGUAGCAAACAGGAUUAGAUACCCUGGUAGUCCAUACCGUAAACGAUGAAUGCUAAGUGUUGGAGGGUUUCCGCCCUUCAGUGCUGCAGCUAACGCAUUAAGCAUUCCGCCUGGGGAGUACGGCCGCAAGGCUGAAACUCAAAGGAAUUGACGGGGGCCCGCACAAGCGGUGGAGCAUGUGGUUUAAUUCGAAGCUACGCGAAGAACCUUACCAGGUCUUGACAUACUAUACAAAUCUAAGAGAUUAGACGUUCCCUUCGGGGACAUGGAUACAGGUGGUGCAUGGUUGUCGUCAGCUCGUGUCGUGAGAUGUUGGGUUAAGUCCCGCAACGAGCGCAACCCUUAUUAUCAGUUGCCAGCAUUAAGUUGGGCACUCUGGUGAGACUGCCGGUGACAAACCGGAGGAAGGUGGGGAUGACGUCAAAUCAUCAUGCCCCUUAUGACCUGGGCUACACACGUGCUACAAUGGAUGGUACAACGAGUUGCGAACUCGCGAGAGUAAGCUAAUCUCUUAAAGCCAUUCUCAGUUCGGAUUGUAGGCUGCAACUCGCCUACAUGAAGUCGGAAUCGCUAGUAAUCGCGGAUCAGCAUGCCGCGGUGAAUACGUUCCCGGGCCUUGUACACACCGCCCGUCACACCAUGAGAGUUUGUAACACCCAAAGUCGGUGGGGUAACCUUUUAGGAACCAGCCGCCUAAGGUGGGACAGAUGAUUAGGGUG